UACGUAGGGUGCAGGCGUUAAUCGGAAUUACUGGGCGUAAAGCGUGCGCAGGCGGUUUGCUAAGACAGGUGUGAAAUCCCCGGGCUUAACCUGGGAACUGCGCUUGUAACUGGCAAGCUAGAGUGUGGCAGAGGGGGGUGGAAUUCCACGUGUAGCAGUGAAAUGCGUAGAGAUCGGGAGGAACACCAGAGGCGAAGGCGGCGACCUGGACAGUUACUGACACUCAACUACGAAAGCGUGGGGAGCAAACAGG
rnacentral:rRNA from 1 species